rnacentral:sRNA from 2 species
AUAACUCUCUUUAAACACCAGAAAAAUAUCGACCCGGAACCUCUUCUUUGACGAAGAUCGAUGCGAUCUUGUGUGUAAUCUCGCUGACACAUUACGAGAACUUGAACACCCAGCGAACGCCGAACAUUGUAUUCGCACGGAAAUCGCACGACAAAAUCAGGUGUCUCGGCCGGAUCUUUUGAAACUGGCUCUGGCAGAAUGCCUAUUUGCUCAAGGAUGAUAUGCGGAAGUGGGGAUGAUCUGUUCAGAGGUCAAAUCAAAGCCAGACCUUCUGAAGAUGGAGAAGAUGCGCCUCGCCAUUACACGAGCAAAGGUAUUUCACAUCAACUCCGAUUGGGAGGGAGUGUUUCAGUGUUGGACAGAGGCAAUGCAAGCUGUCGAUAAAUUCACUUUGACAAAGGGCCAUACGACACGUACAAUUCUUCUCUCCAUCUGCGAUAUUUUGCGCCGCCAGGGACAGCAUGAGCUGGAGCUCAAAUCCCGUGAUCAAUUGGCUACGCUUGAAAAACUGGCUGGGACGGGAGGGUCGCUGUAUUGGAUUUCGCUGGUUAGAUCAUUUACAGACAUCCAACAGGCCUCGUAUAUAAUAGUGCGCAAUACGGGUUAUGGCAAGGUUGCCUGAGCUGAGUGUUGGUUGAAUUUCAGGUAAUUUGGAUUGGCGUGCUUUCUUCUCAGGAUAAACAAUCUGAGUAAACAGGGUUUCUAACCACUUGCUCACUCACACGAUAGGUUUCAUGUAAUUAAAAUACAUCAUCCAUGCGGACUCCACAAUUAAAUCUCGCUAGUUUGUGUUCGACAGAGCAGUUGCCUUUCCUCUCCAAGCAAUUGGGCAAAAUGCAGCUGUAGUUUUUCCCAAGUAUAUAUAACUUGCAUGUUGGAGCGCAACUAUCUUAUGAAGACCCAAGGCAGAGUAUGAGUGUGCAGAGUAUGAGUGUGGGGGCAUGAUGGGCUCCUGGUCUAGUAUUGGCGUAUGACGGAACUUCAGUUCUCUCAGCGGUCAAAUGCUGAAUCCUUUGAGGAUGACGACCGCCAACCAAGCUUCAUCGGUUCAGCAGAUAUCACCCCAUCCACCUCCUUCACUCAGGUGCCUGAGCAGCCACCCGAGCAAUUCAAAAAGCCAAGGAAGAAGUAGUCAUGCUC